UAAAGACCUUUAGAUGCCAAGUUGUAAUCCAAGAGAGAGAUGGGAGUUUCCCCUCCUCCUUCAUAAUCUGAAAGUGUUCUCGGUUAUGAAACUUUAAUCUUGGUUACUUAAUCUCUCAAUAUCUUUUACUCUCAGUCUCUCUAAUCUCUUCAUAAUCUCCUGUUUCUCAAUCACUUGCACUUUCUUCCAUCAGACUCUCUCCUUCAUCAGUUCAAGACUUCUCACCCCCUAAAGGGCUUGUUCUUUACUCACAUCACCUGAGACUCUGAAAAUCUUAUAUGGUAUCAGAGUUUCCAAACUCCUGAAAAUCACAAAGCUUCCGCAAAUCAAGCACAAGCUCACCCUCAUUUUUGUUCAAACCAUUGGAGAAGUUUCUGUCUUGUUGGUUGUUCAAUCUCUUCAAGAGGAAGAAGACUGCAACCAAGGCGUGUCCAGAGAUUUCCCAAGGUCUAUCAUCCUUUCCUGUUCAGCAUGAAGAGAUCUCUUGGAGAAAGAAGGUUUUGGAGCUGUUUGGCAAACAAAACUCCAAACCAAAUCUGUACAAGCAAUUUUCAUACAGAUUUUGUAAUCUAUUAUCUAUUUAAAGGCCUUUAGAUGGCAAGUUGUAAUCCAAGAGAGAGAUGGGGGUUUCCCCUCCUCCUUCAUAAUCUGAAAGUGUUAUUGGUUAUGAAAUUCUAAUCUUGGUUACUUAAUCUCUCAAUCUCUUUUACUCUCAGUCUCUCUAAUCUCUUUAAUCUCCUCAUAAUCUCCUGUUUCUCAAUCACUUGCACUUUCUUCCAUCAGACUCUCUCCUUCACCAGUUCAAGACUCUUCACCCCCUAAAGGGCUUGUUAUUCACUCACAAAACCUGAGACUCUGAAAAUCAGAUGAUCGACUCAACAUUUGUUUGUUGGGUUUCACUUGAUGAUUUUGCUGUGU
rnacentral:lncRNA from 1 species